UACGUAGGGUGCGAGCGUUAAUCGGAAUUACUGGGCGUAAAGAGUGCGUAGGCGGUUCUUGAAGUCCGCUGUGAAAGCCCCGGGCUCAACCUGGGAAUUGCGAUGGAGACUGCAAGGCUUGAAUCUGGCAGAGGGGGGUAGAAGUUCCACGUGUAGCAGUGAAAUGCGUAGAGAUGUGGAGGAACACCGAUGGCGAAGGCAGCCCCCUGGGUCAACACUGACGCUCAUGCACGAAAGCGUGGGGAGCAAACAGG
rnacentral:rRNA from 1 species